AUGACCAGGUUACCCUCCAGUUUUGAAUUCUCUCCUCGUCUCCACCCAGGUCGUCUUCCAGAUCCGCCUGCCUCCGUCGCCCCCCACCUCUGGAUCCUCCACCUCCAUCGCCCCCGCCUCUGUCGCCCCCCACCUCCAGAUCCUCCACCUCCACCUCCAUCGCCUCCCAUCUCGCCCCACAGAUCCCCUUCCAUCCUCCCCAUCUUCCUGGGCCAGCAGAUCCCCCUCAUCGUCCUGGGCCAGCAGAUCCCCCACCUCGUCAUCCCAAGGCCAGCGCCCUGCUGCAGAUUGCCGCCACCCUCCCAAGGCCUCGCCAGCUCCACCUCCAGGUACUGCAGAUCGCCGCUGACUUCAGGUCCAGCAGGUGGAGCUCCAAGCUCCAUUGCACCAACUUCAGAACAGGCAGCAACUGAAAAAGGAAAUAGACAUAGUCAAGGCAGAGGCAUGGAUUUUGAUCUCAACUGCACUCCAGCCGAAGAAGAAGACAUACUCCAAGAUGAUAUGAACAUGGAAGAGGAAGAGGGCAUCGAUCCCGGUCAAGAUGCAGUUGGUGAGCUCCAGUACUCCUGCCAUGAACAAUCAAUAGUUCAUUUGUACCCCUAUAAUGGAGUAGCUAGCAAGUGUUGA
rnacentral:rRNA from 1 species